rnacentral:rRNA from 1 species
UACGAAGGGGGCUAGCGUUGCUCGGAAUCACUGGGCGUAAAGGGUGCGUAGGCGGGUCUUUAAGUCAGGGGUGAAAUCCUGGAGCUCAACUCCAGAACUGCCUUUGAUACUGAGGAUCUUGAGUUCGGGAGAGGUGAGUGGAACUGCGAGUGUAGAGGUGAAAUUCGUAGAUAUUCGCAAGAACACCAGUGGCGAAGGCGGCUUACUGGUCCGAUACUGACGCUGAGGCACGAAAGCGUGGGGAGCAAACAGG